GAUGAACGCUGGCGGCGUGCCUAAUACAUGCAAGUCGAACGCGAUCAGAGGGAGCUUGCUCCCUCUGAUCGAGUGGCGGACGGGUGAGUAACACGUAGGCAACCUGCCCAUCAGCCGGGGAUAACUGCGGGAAACCGUGGCUAAUACCGGAUAAUCCUCUCCACCGCGGGGUGGGGAGUUGAAAGACGGUUUCGGCUGUCGCUGAUGGAUGGGCCUGCGGCGCAUUAGCUGGUUGGCGGGGUAACGGCCCACCAAGGCAACGAUGCGUAGCCGACCUGAGAGGGUGAUCGGCCACACUGGGACUGAGACACGGCCCAGACUCCUACGGGAGGCAGCAGUAGGGAAUCUUCCGCAAUGGACGAAAGUCUGACGGAGCAACGCCGCGUGAGUGAUGAAGGCUUUCGGGUCGUAAAACUCUGUUGUUAGGGAAGAACAAGUGCUAGUUGAAUAAGCUGGCACCUUGACGGUACCUAACCAGAAAGCCACGGCUAACUACGUGCCAGCAGCCGCCGUAA
rnacentral:rRNA from 1 species